rnacentral:rRNA from 1 species
UGGGGAAUUUUGGACAAUGGGGGAAACACUGAUCCAGCCAUCCCGCGUGUGCGAUGAAGGCCUUCGGGUUGUAAAGCACUUUUGGCAGGAAAGAAACGUCAUGGGUUAAUACCCCGUGAAACUGACGGUACCUGCAGAAUAAGCACCGGCUAACUACGUGCCAGCAGCCGCGGUAAAACGUAGGGUGCAAGCGUUAAUCGGAAUUACUGGGCGUAAAGCGUGCGCAGGCGGUUCGGAAAGAAAGAUGUGAAAUCCCAGAGCUCAACUUUGGAACUGCAUUUUUAACUACCGGGCUAGAGUGUGUCAGAGGGAGGUGGAAUUCCGCGUGUAGCAGUGAAAUGCGUAGAUAUGCGGAGGAACACCGAUGGCGAAGGCAGCCUCCUGGGAUAACACUGACGCUCAUGAACGAAAGCGUGGGGAGCAAACAGG